rnacentral:sRNA from 1 species
GGUGAAAGUGUUUGGAGACGGGAACCUGCGUGUAGCAGUCGCUGGUCAGCGGUGGACCUUCAGCCCCUCCUGCCUGGUGGCCUACCGGCCCGAGGAGGAUGCCAACCUGGACGUGGCUGAGCGCGCCCGGGAGAACAAAAGUGCGGCACAGCUCAGGCGGCCAGUGGGCGGUGGGGCUGCCCCUGGCCACCGCUCACCUCAGUCCUGCCCCCAGGCUCACUGAGCGUGGCCCUGGACAAGCUUCGGGCCCAGAAGAGUGACCCAGAGCACCUGGGAAGGCUGGUGGUGGAGGUGGCGCUGGGUAACGCAGCCCGGGCUCUGGACCUGCUGCGGAGGCGCCCAGAGCAGGUGGACACCAAGAACCAAGGCAGGACCGCUCUGCAAGUGGCUGCCUAUCUGGGCCAGGUGGAGUUGGUACGGCUGCUGCUACAAGCCAGGGCGGGUGUGGACCUGCCGGACGACGAGGGCAACACGGCGCUGCACUACGCGGCCCUGGGGUGAGGCCUGGGAGGGGCCCGGUGGGGCUGAGCCUGUGCGUCCUGGGGUGAGGCCUGGGAGGGGCCCGGCGCCCUCCCUCUCCCACUUCUUCUCCCAUCAGGAACCAGCCGGAGGCCGCCAGGGUGCUCCUGAAUGCUGGGUGCCGGGCGGAUGCUCUCAACAGCACUCAGAGCACAGCGCUGCACGUGGCCGUGCAGAGGGGCUUCCUGGAGGUGGUGCGCGCUCUGUGUGAGCGCGGCUGUGACGUCAACCUGCCCG